AUACAUUUAAGACGAAUUUCAUAAAAUACAGCAUAUACAAAUUAGCGCCCCGAGCCGAUUGUGACGAAGAUAAUUCGUAAUUAUUUUCCUACAACAACCGAUGCAUUCGUCUUUUUAGUAAGUGUUCGAGUGUCGUAUGAAUCGAUAUCGCUGCAGGAAUUUCAAAUGAACCGUUAAACUAAAUUUAGAUUCACAUCGUACAUGCAUGAUAUACAUGCUGGCGAAUACGGCUGUACAGCCUUUUUCGAUUUCAGAAUUAAAUAUCUGGCUUAUUUAGCAUUUUUCGACACAUGUUCUUCUUAACUUUUAUUUUAGUUUAUAUUGAAAUAUAUAUAUAAUGAGUUUUUUACACAUUUUUUAUAAAUUCAUAAAUAUUUGACAAAAUCGUAUAUACCCGCUUUAAGUGUGUUUAAAUCGGUGUGUAGAUAUACAGAAAUCCUAUUAAUAUUAAUACUUUAUCAAAAUACUGCGGAUAUUAAGAUAGAAUAUUGCACAAUUCACUGAUAAAGCAGCAGUGUAAUGAAUUCCCCCACCCAACCUUCCCCAGGACCCUACCCCCCACCGCAGCUUACCCCUUGGUUUUCAGAUUGUUAAAUGUACACCUAUUGUGUUUGGUUUGACUUUUCAACAACAAAUAAUGACAAAAAUACGCAGUUAAAAAAUCUCGUAUAGGUAUUAUAAACAGGCAUGACAACUUGAGUGUUCUCGAUGAAAAUGGUCUUGUCCAGUGUUCCUCAAUCUUUCGUCAAUAGGCACAUAGUGCGUUUUAUACCUUGUGUUUAUAUAUUACAUUAACACAGGUUAUUUUUUCAAACUGUGUAUUUUCGUCAAUAUUCCUUGUUGAAAAGUCAAACCAUCCCCAAUAUGUGUACAUUUAACAAUCUGGAACCCCUGGGAUAAAGGGGGGGGCAGGUUGGGUCUUGGGAAAGUCAAUAUACUUAAUUUAUUAGCAUGCAAAAUGACAAGAGUAAGAAAAAACACAUGCUUUAUUUGUAUUUUAGGUCACCAGCCUUCAAUAUGCUAUAUAUAUUCAUAUUAAAAAUGACAAGAGUUAGAAGAAACAUAUAUAUCGUUUCCUUUUUUUAUCCCCACGCUUUUUGAAAAAAAGGUGGGGAUAUUGUGGUGAUCUCCGCCGUCCGUCCGUCCGUCUGUCCGUCCGUCUGUCCGUCUGUCCGUCCGUCCUGGCCACUAUCUCCUCCUACACUAAAAGCACUAGAACCUUGAAAUUUACACACAUGGUAGCUAUGAGCAUAUGUGCGACCCUGCACUAUUUGGAAUUUUGAUCUGACCCCUGGGUCAAAAGUUAUAGGGGUUGGGGUGGGGCCGCGUCAGAAAUUAUCACUCAUUUUUUUAGGUUAUUUUACAUUUACUUCUUUAUUUCUACACCGAUUCACUUCAAAUUGAUACUGGACCUCACCUAUGACAAUACGGUCAAUCUCAACCAUGCAUGGCCCCAUUCCCAACCCUGGGGCGCCCCGCCCACAUAGGCCACACCCACCAAAAAUUUCCAUUUACUAUAAUUUUUUCAUUUCUACACGGAUUCACUUCAAAUUGAUACUGAACUUCUGUUAUGACAUUAGGGUCAAUCUCAACUAUGCAUGGCCCCAAUCCCAACCCUGGGGCGCCCGCCCACAUAGGCCACGCCCACCAAAAAAUUCCAUUUACUAUAAUUUUUUCAUUUCUUCACGGAUUCACUUCAAAUUGAUACUGAACUUCUCUUAUGACAUUAGGGUCAAUCUCAAAUAUGCAUGGCCCCAUAACCAACCCUGGGGCCCCGCCCACAUAGACCACACCCACCCAAAAUUGCCUUUACUAUAAUUUCUUCAUUUCUACACCGAUUCACUUCACAUUGAUAUUGAACUUCUCUUAUGACAAUACAGUCAAUCUCAACUAUGCAUGGCCCCAUUACCAACCCUGGGGCGCCCCGCCCACAUAGACCACACCCACCCAAAAUUGCCUUUUACUAUAAUUUCUUCAUUUCUACACCGAUUCACUUCAAAUUGAUACUGAACCUCUCUAAUGACAAUACGGUCAAUCUCAACUAUGCAUGGCCCCAUUACCAACCCUGGGGCGCCCUGCCCACAUAUGUCGCACCCACCCAAAAUUGCCUUUUACUAUAACUUCUUCAUUUCUACACCAAUUCACUUCUAAUUGAUGAUGAACUUCUCUUAUGACAAUACGGUCAAUCUCAGCUAUGCAUGGCCACAUUACCAACCCUGGGGCACACCUAGGUCAAACAUUCGGCGUGGGGAUACGCGUCGGCCUCUGCCGCGCCAUUUCUAGUUGUUAUUGCCACUUAUUUACUUUAUCAAAACAUUACUGCUCUUAACUAAGGGUGUCACGUUUAAACGUUUGAACAGCCGCGUUUCGUGUUUUGCUCAAAAACCUUUACAAAAACAGUAAACCUCUAAAAGCCAGUCAAUAUCAAUAAAAUUCGUUUUAGUUCAUUACCAGUGCCCCAGAUAAGCUGCGUAUCUGCGUCUUUCACCCUAUUAAAAUGUUUAAAAAUGCAAAGAAAUACAAUAUCAUGCGUAUUGAAAACGCACCCGAUUUGCCUUUUACGCACAUUCGUCUUAUUUGAUGCGUACGAUACAAUAGCUUUGAUCGAAAAAACUUUGCUCAUUUUCGGUAUUUUUUGUGAUUAUUUUUGUUACGCGGCGACGCUUUUAUUCAGCAAGCGCCUGGAUGACGGGGCAAUAAAACAGUCAAAGCUAUUCAAACGCUCUGCGGACUAGAUUCCAUAGUUAAAUAAAGCGGCUGACAAAAUUAUUUACGACGACAUAACUGUUACAAGCGUUUUCAAUCUGACUUAAUCCGUCGUUCAUUGUGCAAAUAUUUGUUAAGUGUCUGUACUUUCAGUUUCUAAUACGAUGCGUAAUAAAAAUGUCUAAGAGAAAGACGUCCGCAAUUGUUGCGCCAAAAUAUGUGUCGAUCGCUAACUUUAUCGAACCAAGAAAGCAAGAGUCAAUAAGUGCCGAAUCAUUCGUGUUAUCGAUUUUUUUUAAGUUUAAAGUUUAUAUUAUUGACAGUUUCAAGGAUUAAAGAUGUUAUGAAACAUCAGUUUAUUAAAGAUAAUUAUAUUAGUUUACAGUUUUAUUGAAUCAAUACAAUUGUGUGCAGCUUCAACAGAAGUAAAGCAGCAAUGGUUUUACUGUAUGCAUCUUAUAACUCAUUUCACCCUAUUCCAAGAAUGAAAUCACCCUAUUUUUCAAAAUCAGUGGGUGAAAACCCUAUUACCGAAAUAAUUAUCUGGGGCACUGCAUUACGUUGUGACGUUUCAAAGCUUUUUAACAGCUGCCAGGGCCCUCGUUUGGCAUUUUUUACUGCCGAAUAUCGGCGGCUUCCCCCAUGAAAAAAGUAUACUUUUUUCCCCUAUUUCGGCUAUAAAUCCCCCCUCCAUUUUUAAAAAAAAUCUUAUACCUAUGUUGCCUGCUGGUAUGGUGCUACUAUAUAAAUCAUAUUAGAAAAUCGCAAUUUUAAGUGCUCAAUUGUUGAUGCAAAGAUCUUCUAAAACUCCAUGUUCGCCCAAAACGACGCAAAAUUCCGCCCUCUAAGGGCCCCGGCCCCAAUCCCCCAAAGUGUAGAGAGGGCCCUCGCUGCUGAAAAAGACUCGUAUUAAAAACUAUAUGUAUCCAGUGCGCCAGAUGGCCCUUAUUCACAAUACCGUAAGCAUUACAAUACACCAUGUACAGACUAGACCUCUUGAAUAUUUAACGAGCAUCAUCAUGAAAUUCCCGGCUUUUGUUGCAUGAGAAUGCCCCGAAUCCUCUUGAACAUUCAACGCGCGUUUAAAACUGGUUUACUCCUGUUUAAGGAAUGUUGGUUAAUAAUUCACAUUCGUGUCAAAAUAUUACGGCAUGUACAAAUGUAAGUAGACAAAUUGUAACCCAUUGGUUAGACAACGAUGAGAACAGUUGGUUUUAGUAUUACAUCAUGUGCGAAUGGGAUAUGCACUAAAUAUAAUUUCCGGAAAUAAGUACUACUUUCAGUUUGAAGAAGUGAUGGCACUGAUGCGUGAUGAUUUUAAAACGGACAUAGGGAUACUGUUUAAACUGUAACGUUUCGUUUAUUUCAUUUCGUUUUAACGUUUAGAAAAAUCUGUAAACGUGACACCCUUACUCUUAACUAGAACAUCAGUUAUAGACAUAAACAAACCUUUUCAUUAAGUAGGUACAUGUAAUAGCUUGUUAUGUAGCAAACGUAUGGUAAUAGUAGAAACAAUCAAUUUAUUUAUAUGUUCUUGUUUGUUAUUGAAUCAUGCUCAAAUAUUGUCAACAACAAAAGGGUCCAGUGGCUGAAUGGCAAACCGUUUAUCAGCCUUGGAUUAAAGGUGUAUUUUUGUCAUCAUGGCAAAAAUUACAGACCAAACAAUAAUGCAAGAACUCCAAAGGAACAUGGAUAUAGCAAAGGUGGGCGUGUCCGUGCUCAGCAAACGAAGAAAUUGGGAUGCCCAGCAAAGGUGCUAAUUAAAGAAGGAGUUAUGCUUCCUGCCAGUCAUCCCAUACAGGAUAACACUAAGGCAGAACUGGAAGCAUCCCUGUUUGACCUUGCUGCAACAGGAGAGUAUACAUGCUGCUACUACAUGUGUCUUCCAGACCUGGAAAAGCACAAGUAUCACGAAACAGGCAUUUCUUCAGGCCUGAGUCAAAAUAUUGACCAGGGACUUGUUCAUAAGAUAAAUGAAUUGGUCGACGAAGGGGUGUCAGACACAGACGAAAUGGAACGGCGCCUCCGAAGUCAUGUUCUGGAAACAGAAAAUGUUACACCAGCACCAACAAGCAAGAGUUUUUUUCCGAAUCGUAACACGAUUCGGAACCACAUGCGAAACGCAGAGAAAACAAAACAGACAAGCAUAGAUGAUGAAACAAAUCUUGAAGGCUUUCUGAAUAGAUGGAAACAAGACAAUACUAGAGAUAUUGUUUUCCUGCGGAAAAAAGGAGAAACGGAGGAUUCAUUCACUUUUCAACAUUCUGGCCUGCAGAAAGCUAGUCAUUGACUUGCAGAAGAAAGAUAGUUUAGUAAAUAAAUACAUUGAAGAUGUACUCAUCAAGGAGGCAUUAGUGGCUUUGAUGGAGCAGUGUAACCACGCGCUGGUGAUGACCAUUUCCACAAGCCUUAUGGACUCAUUCAGCAUGGCCAUGAAUAGUCGAACCAGCAUUAAGGAGAAGAUGCCUGUGUGAAGGUGUUACCUCUUCAUGGCAAUACAAUACAAUACAAAUCUGAAAUUGUGUUUGUUUCUCACGCAGUCCUGCAUAUGUAUUUUCUAUUACUGUUUGUUAAUGGUGUUUUGUAUGGUUAUUGGCCUUUUCUUGUGUUAAUUUCAAAUUAAUUUAAGAACUGUGCAUGAUUAUUUUUAGAAAAUUGUGGUAAAGUUAGUUAGUUGUUGCAGUAAGGGUCUGAAAUUUGUUAGUGACAUUUAUAGGAGUGUGUUCACAGAUCGAUGAUUUUUUAUGCCACAUAUAUCAAACAUAAAAGGAUACUGUAUGGACGUGAGUUAAAUACAUGUAUAAAUACAUGUAUAAAUUAACUGUUAACAGAGCUACAGAUAAGCUGUAUAAGUGAGUAAAUUUGCAAUUAAAAUAGGUGGGUACGCAGUGUUUAAAAAAUAUGUGCGAACUAAAACGAAAAUAAAGUUGCUAAUACCGAAUUGGAAUUUAAGUAUCAAGAAAUACAUAUACAUGUAAGCAAAUAUUGUAAGUUCAAUACUUUUUUUCAUGAGUAUUUUUCUAUGAAGUGUUGUGCAAUAUUUAUACAAACUUUCGUUUCUGCUGAAUUGCAGAGGUAGCUUUAUUGUAUUUUGAUGAUAAAAGGUCCUUACACAUGUUUCAUAUGCCAACCACUUUGAACUUGUAUAGCCAAUAUCUGUGACAAAGCCCACUCCUCGAGCAUUACUUGUAUGUGACAGCCUUUUGUAUUAUGUAUUGUUUUUGUAUAAUUCAAGCUCUAUAAAUAAAUUAUGCAUAUAUUUUGCUAUAGUGAAUCACUGUUGUGUCUUGAGUAUGUAUUUAUGAGUAUGUCUUUUAAACUUUAAAAACGUAUUUGCUCACUUAUUGCAAUGUUGUAAAACAUAAUGAUCGGAUAAUUUGUAACCGAAUAAUAAUAAUACAUUAAGCAAUUUGUUUAAGUUAAAUUAAGUAAGAUCAUUUUGAACAAUUUCAUAUUAAAUUUUUGCAACAUUCCACUACAUGUAUCAAUUUGUUUAAGUUAAAUUAAGUAAGAUCAUUUUGAACAAUUUCAUAUUAAAUUUUUGCAACAUUCCACUACAUGUAUCAGUAUGUGAAACAUCACUACGGUACAUAAUAUGACCGAAAAUGCAUUACGUCAUUACCUUAAGGACGACCGAAACAUAACUUUUUUACUUUGUUCUCAAAGGCGUAAUUAAAGCUUACUAAUAACUUCCAUCGUAAAACGGCUUCAUACAUUUGCCCACUCCUCGAGCAUUACAUGUAUGUGACAGCCUUUUGUAUUAUGUAUUGUUUUUGUAUAAUUCAAGCUCUAUAAAUAAAUUAUGCAUAUAUUUUUUUGCUAUAGUGAAUCAAUGUUGCGUCUUGAGUAUGUAUUUAUGAGUAUGUCUUUUAAACUUUAAAACGUAUUUGCUCACUUAUUGCAAUGUUGUAAAGCAUCAUGAUCGGAUGAUUUGUAACAGAAUAAAUAAUAAUACAUUUA